CCGCGUGUGUGAAGAAGGCCUUCGGGUUGUAAAGCACUUUCAGUUGUGAGGAAAAGUUAGUAGUUAAUACCUGCUAGCCGUGACGUUAACAACAGAAGAAGCACCGGCUAACUCCGUGCCAGCAGCCGCGGUAAUACGGAGGGUGCGAGCGUUAAUCGGAAUUACUGGGCGUAAAGCGCACGCAGGCGGUUUGUUAAGCUAGAUGUGAAAGCCCCGGGCUCAACCUGGGAUGGUCAUUUAGAACUGGCAGACUAGAGUCUUGGAGAGGGGAGUGGAAUUCCAGGUGUAGCGGUGAAAUGCGUAGAUAUCUGGAGGAACAUCAGUGGCGAAGGCGACUCCCUGGCCAAAGACUGACGCUCAUGUGCGAAAGUGUGGGUAGCGAACAGGAUUAGAUACCCUGGUAGUCCACACCGUAAACGCUGUCUACUAGCUGUUUGUGACUUUAAGUCGUGAGUAGCGAAGCUAACGCGCUAAGUAGACCGCCUGGGGAGUACGGCCGCAAGGUUAAAACUCAAAUGAAUUGACGGGGGCCCGCACAAGCGGUGGAGCAUGUGGUUUAAUUCGAUGCAACGCGAAGAACCUUACCUACACUUGACAUGCAGAGAACUUUCCAGAGAUGGAUUGGUGCCUUCGGGAACUCUGACACAGGUGCUGCAUGGCUGUCGUCAGCUCGUGUCGUGAGAUGUUGGGUUAAGUCCCGCAACGAGCGCAACCCUUGUCCUUAGUUGCCAGCAUUCAGUUGGGCACUCUAAGGAGACUGCCGGUGACAAACCGGAGGAAGGUGGGGACG
rnacentral:rRNA from 1 species